GACGAACGCUGGCGGCGUGCUUAACACAUGCAAGUCGAACGGUGAAGCGCCUUCCUUUUGGGUUGGUGUGGAUGAGUGGCGAACGGGUGAGUAACACGUGAGUAACCUGCCCCUUUCUUCUGGUUAACCGCAUGAAAGUGUGGCUAAUACGGGAUAUUCUGGGUCUGUCGCAUGAUGGGUCUGGUAAAGAUGUUGUUUCGGGGGGGGAUGGGCUCGCGGCCUAUCAGCGUGUUGGUGGGGUGAUGGCCUAGCAAGGCGGGGAGGGUUAGCAGGCCGGAGAGGGUAGCCGGUCACAGAGGGUCUGCGACCCGGUCGAGACUCCUACGGGAGGCAGCAGUGGGGAGUAUUGAACAAUGGGCGAAAGUCUGAUGCAGCGACGCCGCGUGAGCGAUGGCGGCCCUCGGGUUGUGAACCUCUUCCGCCAGUGAAGCAGGCCUGCCUCGUUUGUGGGUGGGUUGACGGUAGCUGGAUAAGAAGCGCCGGCUAACUACGUG
rnacentral:rRNA from 1 species